rnacentral:rRNA from 1 species
UACGUAGGGUGCAAGCGUUGUCCGGAAUUAUUGGGCGUAAAGAGCUCGUAGGCGGUCUGUUGCGUCGGCUGUGAAAACCCGGGGCUCAACUCCGGGCCUGCAGCCGAUACGGGCAGACUAGAGUUCGGCAGGGGAGACUGGAAUUCCUGGUGUAGCGGUGAAAUGCGCAGAUAUCAGGAGGAACACCGGUGGCGAAGGCGGCUACCUGGCCCAUUCUUGACGCUGAGGCGCGAAAGCUAGGGGAGCAAACGGG